rnacentral:lncRNA from 1 species
UGGUUACCAACCUUGCCAGCGCAAGAUUAGCCUGAUCACGAAGAUCGAUUCCUGUCCGCAAUCGAAGAACAAAUAAGAAAAAGAGGCAAGCAAUCUAAAUAUCACUCGAAGGUGGAGUUCUGAAUCACACAAGGACAACGCGUAUUUGCGCGUGUUCGAGAGUAGCUAAAGCUAGAUGUAAAACAAAACUCAAGUCGUAAACAAAAGGGACUCCGACUAAAUAAAGGGGGCGCAGCCCCUGGAGUCCGGAGGAGGCGCCAUGGCAGGAGGGGGGCGCGCGCGACCAGGGGGAGGGCCGCGGCUCCCAACCCUAGGUGCCCCACCUGGGCUGCCCUGUUGGGCCAUCUUCUUAUUCCGCUGGGCCUUCGUUCCUUAACAGCAUGAUGAAGUUUAAUUCUCUCGCACGGGCCUGAGUGAUUGGCCCAAUUGGAUGAUCAACUGUAGGCGCCUGAGGUGGAGGAGCAACUGGAGGCGCCUGAGGUGCUGCUGGUGUAGAUGUACUCGUGGUGUCCUCAUCAUCCUCCCCUUCUUGAACUGAAGUCGUCCUCGACGGCAACUCCUCAUCUUCGUCCGCAUACGGUUUCAAAUCUGCAACAUUAAAACUUGUGGAAACACCAAACUCCGCAGGCAGGUCAAGGAUAUAAGCAUUAUCAUUAAUCUUAAUUAGCACUUUAAAAGGACCAGCAGCACGUGGCAUCAAUUUAGAACGACGUAAAGUAGGAAAACGAUCCUUUCUCAAAUGCAACCAAACCAGAUCACCCGGUGCAAAAGUAACAUGUUUUCUCCCUUUACUACCCGCAACCUGAUAUUUAGCAUUAGCAGCAGCAAUGUUUUGUUGAGUUUGCUCAUGCAAGCUAAUCAUUUGAUCAACAUGUGCAGCGGCAUCUAGGUGUGGGGCGUCCUCAGCAUCAAGCGCAAACAAAUCAAUAGGCGCCCGAGGAAUAUAACCAUAAACAACCUGAAAGGGACACAUCUUUGUAGAAGAAUGCGUUGCAUGAUUAUAAGCAAACUCAACAUGAGGCAAGCAAUCUUCCCAACAUUUCAAGUGUUUAUCUAAAACAGCCCGAAGCAUGGUUGACAAAGUUCGAUUAACCACCUCAGUUUGUCCAUCAGUCUGAGGGUGACAAGUGGUGCUAAAUAGCAAUUUAGUUCCCAUUUUAUUCCACAGUGAUCUCCAAAAAUGACUGAGAAACUUAGCAUCACGAUCAGAGACUAUUGUAUUUGGAAUACCAUGCAAACGAAUAAUCUCGUGAAAGAACAAUUCAGCAACAUUGCUAGCAUCAUCAGUCUUAUGACAAGGUAUAAAAUGAGCCAUUUUGGAGAAACGAUCAACAACCACAAAAAUACUAUCCCUCCCCUUCUUAGUUCUAGGAAAUCCCAAAACAAAGUCCAUAGAAAUAUCAAGCCAAGGGGAAGUAGGAAUAGGCAAAGGCAUGUACAAACCAUGGUUGUUCAAUCGUGACUUAGCUUUCUGGCAAGUAGUGCCACGUGCAAUAAGGCGCUCAACAUCAACGCGCAUCCGGGGCCAAAAGAAGUGGGUAGCCAGCACUUCAUGCGUCUUGUAGACGCCAAAGUGCCCCAUGAGACCGCCUCCAUGCGCUUCCUGUAACAACAAACGACGAACCGAGCUAGCUGGAACACACAGCUUGUUAGCACCAAACAGGAACACGUCUUGUAUGUGAAAUUUGCCCCAUGGUUUGCCAUGAAUACAAUGGGCGAAAGCAUCUUUAAAAUCAGCAUCGUCCACAUAUUGAUCCUUCAUAGUUUGCAAGCCAAAGAUUUUAAAAUCUAACUGUGACAGCAUGGUAUAGCGACGAGACAAAACAUCAGCAAUGACAUUUUUCUUCCCGCUCUUGUGUUUAAUAAUGUAAGGGAAAGACUCAAUGAAUUCUACCCAUUUAGCAUGACGACGGUUCAGGUUUGUUUGGGUACGAAUAUGUUUUAAAGCCUCAUGAUCAGAAUGAAUUAUAAACUCGCAAUGCCAAAGGUAGUGCUGCCAAGUAUGCAAAGUGCGCACUAAAGCAUAAAGCUCCUUAUCAUAAGUAGAAUAAUUCAAGCUAGCACCACUUAAUUUCUCGCUAAAGUAAGCAACCGGUUUUCCUUCUUGUAACAAAACAGCACCUAGCCCAAUACCGCUAGCAUCGCAUUCAAGCUCAAACACUUUAGUAAAAUCAGGCAACUGCAAGAGAGGAGUAUUGGUUAACUUAUCUUUCAAGGUGCUGAACGCAACCUCUUGCGAAUCACUCCAAGCAAAGGGGACAUCCUUCUUUGUAAGCUCAUGUAGAGGCGCCGCAAUGGAGCUAAAAUCACGAACAAACCUGCGGUAGAAACCUGCAAGGCCAAGAAAGCUUCGAAUUUGUGUGACCGUCGUUGGUGUAGGCCAUGCCCGAAUGGCAUCGAUCUUGCUGCUAUCCACCUCAAUGCCCUGUGGAGUAACAACAUAGCCAAGAAACAAGACACGUUGUGUGCAAAACAUGCAUUUCUCGAGGUUAGCAAAUAAAUGGGCUGCACGCAACGCAUCAAAAACAGCACGCAAAUGUUCUAAAUGCUCUUUCAUAGACUUGCUGUAAAUGAGGAUAUCAUCAAAAUAGACAACUACAAACAAUCCUAUGAAGGGCCUCAGAACUUCAUUCAUCAAACACAUAAAUGUGCUGGGAGCAUUUGUCAAACCAAACGGCAUAACCAACCAUUCAUAUAACCCAAAUUUCGUUUUAAAAGCCGUUUUCCAUUCAUCGCCUAAUUUCAUGCGAAUCUGAUGGUAGCCACUGCACAAAUCAAUCUUAGUGAAAAUAAUGGCACCACUAAGCUCAUCUAGCAUAUCAUCAAGGCAUGGUAUAGGGUAUCGGUAGCGAAUGGUAAUGUUAUUAAUAGCACGACAGUCUACACACAUACGCCAUGAGCCAUCUUUCUUUGGAACAAGUAAUACGGGAACGGAGCAAGGGCUAAGAGACUCGCGAAUAUAACCCUUGUCAAGCAACGCCUGCACCUGGCGCUAGAUUUCCUUCGUCUCAUCCGGAUUUGUACGGUACGGUGCGCGGUUCGGAAGCUGUGCGUCGGGAAUGAGGUCGAUCUGGUGCUCAAUGCCAUGAAGUGGUGGGAGUCCCGGUGGCAAAUCUUUUGGAAAGACAUCAGCGUACUCCUGCAAAAUGUUAGCAACCGCAGGGGGAAUAUCCAAAGAUGGUGCAUCAUCAAGUGAAACAAGCACACUAGAGCAUAUAAGGGCAUAGCAUGACAAAGGGGCAUCGCGUAAUUCAUCAAAAUCAGCACGUGUAGCAAGCAAAACAGGAGCAUUCAACAUGAUUUCAGAAUUAACAGAGGUCGAUGGUUCAAGUUGUUUAGCAGUUUUAGCAGCUCUAGCAAGAUCAUCUUUAAGAAUUUGUUCAGGUGUCAUUGGAUGUAUAAUUAUUUUCUGACCCUUAAACAUGAAAGAAUAGUGAUUUGAACGACCAUGAUGCAAGCUAUCAGUAUCAUAUUGCCAAGGUCGCCAGAGUAACAGAGAGCAUGCUUCCAUGGGAAUAACAUCACAAUUGACAAAAUCAGAAUAAGCACCCAUGGAGAAAGGAACACGGACCGAUCGAGUAAUUCUAAUUUUCCCACCAUCAUUAAGCCAUUGAAUGUGAUAUGGAUUUGGAUGCUUACGAGUGGGUAAAGACAACUUUUCAACCAGCGCGAUACUCGCCAAAUUGUUGCAGCUGCCGCUGUCGAUGAUGAUGCGAAUCGACCGCUUCUGCACAACGCCCUUGGUAUGGAAAAGAGUGUGUCACUGAUUCUUCUUGGACGGAGCGACCUGUGUACUAAGAACACGCUGCACAACAAGACUUUCAUACCUAUCGGCGUCGCCCAGGUUGACAUGUACCUCCAUAGUUGCAUGGUCAGUGGCAAGCAUCGCAUGUUGAGUAUCUUCAGAAUCACUAGCGGAAGAGUACUCACCAUCAUCACGAAGAAGCAAAGUGCGCUUGUUCGGACAGUCCCGAAACACGUGGCCAAAACCUUUGCAACGAUGACACUGAAUAUCCCAUGUACGGCCUGUGGGACGGGCGGCGCCUGUGGAAGGGGCAGUGCUUGCAGGUUUGGCCGUUCUCUUGCGUGGUGUAGUGGUGGGCGUGGGUGGCGCAGGGAGAGCGGGUGCGGAGUUGGAUGUCGAGCUUCUUCCUGCAAAAGAGUUAGAAUAUGUCUUCGAGCGGCGUCCCUGCACUUUACGUUCAGCUUUGCAAGCAUAUUCAAAUAAUGUUGUCAUAUCUGUGUAGUCCUUAUAAUCAAGUAUAUCCUGAAUUUCGCGGUUCAAACCACCACGAAAACGUGCCAUAGCAGCGUCAUUUUCCUCCAAUAACCCACAACAAAUCAUGCCUAUUUGUAAUUCCUGGAAAUAUUCCUCAACAGAUUUGGAGCCUUGCUGAAAACGCUGCAUUUUAUUAAGCAAAUCUCGGGCAUAAUAAGAAGGUACAAAUCUGUGGCGCAUAACAGCUUUUAAUUGAUCCCAAGUGGUUGGAAUGGUAUUGGGAUGUUUGUGUUUAUAUUCACACCACCAAAUUAAAGCAAAAUCAGUAAAUUCACUAAUAGCAGCUUUAACUUGAGAAUUAGCAAGAAUAUCAUGGCAUGAAAAUUUCUGUUCAACUUCUAAUUCCCAAUCAAGAUAUGCAGCAGGAUCAUAUUUGCCAUUAAAAGGUGGAAUUUUAAAUUUAAUCUUGGAAACGGAAUCAUUACCGGGACGGCGUCGCACGGGGCGGGCACAGCCUCGGCGGUCACCAUCGUCCUGUUCCGAGUCACCACCAUAACACUGCUGCAACUCUGUGACUGUUGUGUGCAAUGCAUCAAGGCGUGCCACAACUGUGUCGAGUGUGGCCUUAGCAGUUGUCUGUGCAAGGUCUAGCUGAUCGCACUGCUAGGUCAUCGAGAAGAUAGUCGAGUCCAGCCGUUCAUGAAUCGUCUGAAUGUCCGUGACAAGCCCUUCAACUUGUGCCCGUAUGCCCUGCAGCUGGUUAGCCCCCGCGUCGACAUCAUCUGCCAUGGUUAGCGCAAAGACAAGAACAAAACCGACAACAAAACAGGGGUGCAACGGCUCACAAGGCGCUCACACUGGUGCUGUUAUCAAAUUCUUAUCCGAUCUUACCACGCACACAGGGGUGAACUGCAACCAACCGGUGGAACUCGUGAAAGAUUGGAGGAGCGAUUGCUUGGAGAAACAAAAUCUGCUCGUCGUAGAACUAUGUGGAGUUUUGGGAAGGCUGCACUCAAAUGAAGGAUUAGCACAAUCAAACAAUAAUGCAAAGUUGAAAUAUAGUGCCAAACACGUAACAAGAGUUGCUGGUAACAAGGGAAACCGAAAGAACAUAGGCAAAGAAACGGCCAAGGUGGAGAGGGCGCACCUCUUUUGUUUUUCUUUUUUUUUUAGGGUGCCCCAAAACUGAUAAUAUGAACACAGAGGAUCUCAAACAGCAAAUUGUGGCACACACUUUUUCCGAAAGUACAGGGGUAUUCCGGCACACACACACACUCUCUCUCUCUCUAGAGUAAGGCAAACCUCAGAAAAAUGUACCAAGAAAGAGAGAUACGGAUAUGAAAAGCUGGCACGGGGUGCGUGGGGAAGGGCGCGGUAUGCGUGGGGGGCUGCGGAGUUGCCCCGAAGGGUCGUGACCCAGCGGGGUUCACGGCGCGCAAGGAGAGUUUCCACCGAAACAAAACCGGAUCACCUUCCUUCUCCCUAUUGGAUUUUUUUUUGCUUCUUUCCUUUUUUUGUGCACUUUCCUUUUUUUUAUUGCUUUCUAUCUUUUUUUUUGUUUGGACAGGGGAGGGGGCGAUCGGAGGGGUGGGAUGGCACGACGCGGUUGUCGCGAGGGGGGGCGGUGGGUGCGGUGUGGUAGGAUUGGCGAGCAGCAGAAUGGCGGCGGUGAAAACUAGGGUUAGAAGAAAAACGAGAAACAAGAGAUUAAACACAAGUAACCAGCAACAAUUGAAUGAGUAGGCACACAAAUUCAACAAAGACACUUAUUGAAAGAAUGUGCGAGGCUAAAUGGUUGCUGCGACAAGGAUCUAACCUGAAAAAAAUUUGUUUUGGUUUUUGUGGACUAUAGGAAGGGAAAAACACUCGGUAAAACUCACCGAUCAACCUGGAAAGAUGAUACCACUUGAUAGAGUCGGAGUGCCCGAUCUUUCGGUGAGUGGAGAUAAAUUUGACUUGGUGGAAGUAGACCCUCACGAUCCGACUACGACGAGCAAACCCGAAGCACCAAUGCAAUCGCUGAACCAACUUCCUGUGGUUACCAACCUUGCCAGCGCAAGAUCAGCCUGAUCACGAAGAUCGAUUCCUGUCCGCAAUCGAAGAACGAACAAGAAAAAGAGGCGAGCAAUCUAAAUAUCACUCAAAGGUGGAGUUCUGAAUCACACAAGGACAGCGCGUAUUUGCGCGUGUUCGAGAGUAGCUAAAGCUAGAUGUAAAACAAAACUCAAGUCGUAAACAAAAGGGACUCCGACUAAAUAAAGGGGGCGCAGCCCCUGGAGUCCAGAGGAGGCGCCACGGCAAGAGGGGGGCGCGCGCGACCAGGGGGAGGGCCGCGGCUCCCAACCCUAGGCGCCCCACCUGGGCUGCCCUGUUGGGCCAUCUUCUUAUUCCGCUGGGCCUUCGUUCCUUAACAGCAUGAUGAAGUUUAAUUCUCUCGCACGGGCCCGAGUGAUUGGCCCAACUAGAUGAUCAACUGUAGGCGCCUGAGGUGGAGGAGCAACUGGAGGCGCCUAAGGUGCUGCUGGUGUAGAUGUACUCGUUGUGUCCUCAUCAGAAAGAGAUAAGAAAGAAGAGAAAAAGGAAUGAAAAAGAAAAAAUUAAUAAAGGAGAAAAUGAAUAAAAUGCUCCUCAGUUCUUUGAGCCUCAUUAAAAGUUCCCAACGCUCUUAAGAUUAAGAAUUGAUCCUUACUCAAUUUCCAACCAUGUGCAAUCCGAUUACGAGAACUUCAUUUGUGUCUCGCAAUCACCCUUUGCCCUUGCACAUGCCCACUUAUCUAAAUGUGUGUGUUUC